GGAGAGUUGGCUGAGCGGUCGAAGGCGCACGAUUGGAAAUCGUGUUUACGGGGAACCGUAACUAGGGUUCAAAUCCCUAACUCUCCGCCA
rnacentral:tRNA from 1 species